AAAGGUUAAACGCGUUGGCAGUGUGGUUAGCUGGUUGUGUGAAUACAUAUAACAGCCACUAUCCGCCCUGCCAUUGCGGCAUGCUUUCA
rnacentral:pre_miRNA from 1 species